GAAGCCCCGCUAACUACGUGCCAGCAGCCGCGGUAAUACGUAGGGGGCAAGCGUUAUCCGGAUUUACUGGUGUAAAGGGAGCGCAGAUGGACUGACAAGUCAGAUGUGAAAGGCAUGGGCUCAACCUUGGACUGCAUUUGAAACUGUUAGUCUUGAGUAUCGGAGGGGCAGGCAGAAUUCCUGGUGAGCGGUGAAAUGCGUAGAUAUUAGGAAGAAUACCGGUGGCGAAGGCGGCCUGCUGGACGUUACUGACAUUGAGGCUCGAAAGCGUGGGGAGCAAACAGGAUUAGAUACCCUGGUAGUCACGCAGUAAACGAUGAAUACUAGGUGCUGGCGCCCAACGGGUGUCGGUGCCGCCGCAAAGCAUUAAGUAUUCCACCUGGGGAGUACGUUCGCAAGAAUGAAACUCAAAGGAAUUGACGGGACCCGCACAAGCGGUGGAGCAUGUGGUUUAAUUCGAAGCAACGCGAAGAACCUUACCAGUCUUGACAUCCCCCUGACGUAGCCAGAGAUGGAUAUUUCCUUCGGGACAGGGGAGACGGUGGUGCAUGGUUGUCGUCAGCUCGUGUCGUGAGAUGUUGGGUUAAGUCCCGCAACGACGCAACCCUUAUGCUUAGUAGCCAGCGGUCCGGCCGGGCACUCUGGGCAGACUGCCAGGAUAACCUGGAGGAAGGCGGGGAUGACGUCAAAUCAUCAUGCCCCUUAUGACUUGGGCUAACACGUGCUACAAUGGCGUUUAACAAAGGGAAGCAAACCCGCGAGGGGGAGCAAAUCCAAAACAACGUCCCAGUUCGGACUGUAGUCUGCAACCCGACUACACGAAGCUGGAAUCGCUGUAAUCGCAGAUCAGAAUGCUGCGGUGAAUACGUUCCCGGGUCUUGCACACACCGCCCG
rnacentral:rRNA from 1 species